rnacentral:tRNA from 1 species
GAAGCACUAGUAUAACUGUUAUUACAGUUCUUUGUCAAGGAACAAUUAUCGGUUAAAGCCCGAUGUGCUUUA